ensembl:antisense_RNA anr-19 ncRNA
UGUAGCGACGAUCCAUCCAUUUUACGAGAAUCUGGAAAAAAAAGUAGAUCAAUAUUUUUUUAUUGAAUUCUACAGUAGUUUUGUUAUCAAUUCAACACAUUUCAAAGAAAUGCUGAAUUUGCU